ensembl:snoRNA
AUUGGUUGAAAAUCACCUGUGGCUUUGGUUGUGGCUAUGGGUAAAACUUGCUGCCCAGAGCCACUGGGAGCCUCAGCUCACCACCCACUCCUCUGUGUGGUGAGGUGAAACCCAGACCCCGACAUGU